rnacentral:rRNA from 1 species
AGCCGCGGUGAUACGGAGGGUGCAAGCGUUAAUCGGAAUUACUGGGCGUAAAGCGCACGCAGGCGGUUUGUUAAGUCAGAUGUGAAAUCCCCGCGCUUAACGUGGGAACUGCAUUUGAAACUGGCAAGCUAGAGUCUUGUAGAGGGGGGUAGAAUUCCAGGUGUAGCGGUGAAAUGCGUAGAGAUCUGGAGGAAUACCGGUGGCGAAGGCGGCCCCCUGGACAAAGACUGACGCUCAGGUGCGAAAGCGUGGGGAGCAAACAGGAUUAGAUACCCUGGUAGUCCACGCUGUAAACGAUGUCGACUUGGAGGUUGUGCCCUUGAGGCGUGGCUUCCGGAGCUAACGCGUUAAGUCGACCACCUGGGGAGUACGGCCGCAAGGUUAAAACUCAAAUGAAUUGACGGGGGCCCGCACAAGCGGUGGAGCAUGUGGUUUAAUUCGAUGCAACGCGAAGAACCUUACCUACUCUUGACAUCCACGGAAUUCGCCAGAGAUGGCUUAGUGCCUUCGGGAACCGUGAGACAGGUGCUGCAUGGCUGUCGUCAGCUCGUGUUGUGAAAUGUUGGGUUAAGUCCCGCAACGAGCGCAACCCUUAUCCUUUGUUGCCAGCACGUAAUGGUGGGAACUCAAAGGAGACUGCCGGUGAUAAACCGGAGGAAGGUGGGGAUGACGUCAAGUCAUCAUGGCCCUUACGAGUAAGGCUACACACGUGCUACAAUGGCAUAUACAAAGAGAAGCGAACUCGCGAGAGCAAGCGGACCUCAUAAAGUAUGUCGUAGUCCGGAUUGGAGUCUGCAACUCGACUCCAUGAAGUCGGAAUCGCUAGUAAUCGUAGAUCAGAAUGCUACGGUGAAUACGUUCCCGGGCCUUGUACACACCGCCCGUCACACCAUGGGAGUGGGUUGCAAAAGAAGUAGGUAGCUUAACCUUCGGGAGGGCGCUUACCAC